GAUGAACGCUAGCGGCAGGCCUAACACAUGCAAGUCGAGGGAGAAGCCCUUCGGGGCAGAAACCGGCGCACGGGUGCGUAACGCGUAUGCAACCUACCUUUCACAGGGGGAUAGCCCGAAGAAAUUUGGAUUAAUACCCCAUAAUAUUAUUGGAUGGCAUCAUUUGAUAAUUAAAAUUACGAUGGUGAAAGAUGGGCAUGCGUCCUAUUAGCUAGUUGGAGUGGUAACGGCACCCCAAGGCUACGAUAGGUAGGGGUCCUGAGAGGGAGAUCCCCCACACUGGUACUGAGACAGGGACCAGACUCCUACGGGAGGCAGCAGUGAGGAAUAUUGGUCAAUGGUCGGAAGACUGAACCAGCCAUGCCGCGUGCAGGAAGAAUGCCUUAUGGGUUGUAAACUGCUUUUAUAUGGAAGAAUAAGGAGUACGUGUACUUGAUGACGGUACC
rnacentral:rRNA from 1 species